rnacentral:tRNA from 1 species
UUAAUUGAAGCCAAAUUAGCGGCCUAUCACUGUUAAUGAUAAAACUGAAGUAAACUUCCAAUUAAA